rnacentral:rRNA from 1 species
GACGAACGCUGGCGGCGUGCUUAACACAUGCAAGUCGAACGGAAAGGCCCUUCGGGGUACUCGAGUGGCGAACGGGUGAGUAACACGUGGGUGAUCUGCCCUGCACUUUGGGAUAAGCCUGGGAAACUGGGUCUAAUACCGAAUAGGACCACGCGCUUCAUGGUGUGUGGUGGAAAGCUUUUGCGGUGUGGGAUGGGCCCGCGGCCUAUCAGCUUGUUGGUGGGGUAAUGGCCUACCAAGGCGACGACGGGUAGCCGGCCUGAGAGGGUGACCGGCCACACUGGGACUGAGAUACGGCCCAGACUCCUACGGGAGGCAGCAGUGGGGAAUAUUGCACAAUGGGCGCAAGCCUGAUGCAGCGACGCCGCGUGAGGGAUGACGGCCUUCGGGUUGUAAACCUCUUUCACCAGGGACGAAGCGUAAGUGACGGUACCUGGAGAAGAAGCACCGGCCAACUACGUGC